AUGGGGAUGAUAGGUUGUGGUUGUGGAGGAUUGUUUCCAUUCUUCACAGGGACGCUGGCCGUGGGGAGGACCCCUUCCCUCUGUGCAGGGACGCUGGCCGUUGGGAGGAUCCCUUCCCUCUGUGCAGGGACGCUGGCCGUUGGGAGGACCCCUUCCCACUGUGCAGGGACGCUGGCCGUUGGGAGGACCCCUUACCACUGUGCAGGGACGCUGGCCGUUGGGAGGACCCCUUACCACUGUGCAGGGACGCUGGCCGUUGCUAGGACCCCUUCCCUCUGUGCAGGGACGCUGGCCGUGGGGAGGAUCCCCUCCCUCUGUGCAGGGACGCUGGCCGUUGGGAGGAUCCCUUCCCACUGUGCAGGGACGCUGGCCGUUGGGAGGAUCCCUUCCCUCUGUGCAGGGACGCUGGCCGUGGGGAGGAUCCCCUUCCCUCUGUGCAGGGACGCUGGCCGUGGGGAGGAUCCCCUUCCCUCUGUGCAGGGACGCUGGCCAUGGGGAGGAUCCCCUCCCUCUGUGCAGGGACGCUGGCCGUUGGGAGGAUCCCCUCCCUCUGUGCAGGGACGCUGGCCGUUGGGAGGAUCCCUUCCCUCUGUGCAGGGACGCUGGCCGUUGCUAGGACCCCUUCCCACUGUGCAGGGACGCUGGCCGUUGGGAGGAUCCCUUCCCACUGUACUGGGACGCUGGCCGUUGGGAGGAUCCCCUCCCUCUGUGCAGGGACGCUGGCCGUUGGGAGGAUCCCUUCCCUCUGUGCAGGGACGCUGGCCGUUGGGAGGAUCCCCUUCCCUCUGUGCAGGGACGCUGGCCGUUGGGAGGACCCCUUCCCUCUGUGCAGGGACGCUGGCCGUUGCUAGGACCCCUUCCCACUGUGCAGGGACGCUGGCCGUUGGGAGGAUCCCUUCCCACUGUGCAGGGACGCUGUCUGUAGGAAAGAUCCCCUCCCUCUGCACAGUGAUGCUGUCUGUAGGAAAGAUCCCCUCCCUCUGCACAGUGAUGCUGUCUGUAGGAAAGAUCCCCUCCCUCUGCACAGUGAUGCUGUCUGUAGGAAAGAUCCCCUCCCUCUGUACAGUGAUGCUGUCUGUAGGGAAGAUCCCCUCCCUCUGCACAGUGAUGCUGUCUGUAGGGAAGAUCCCCUCCCUCUGCACAGUGAUGCUGUCUGUAGGGAAGACCCCUCCCUCUGCACAGUGA
rnacentral:lncRNA from 8 species